CGGCAUUCCUCAGGUUUUUGUGAUGCCAUGACUGCUGGAAUUUCCCUCUGGUUGCUAACAACAUGCAGGCUAAAGCUGUCAGUAAGUCACUAAAUUCACCCCCCAAAAGGAUGAUCAUUUUAGAGCUGUUUGCUUCAGGAAUCCAGUAUCACUUGUCCUGGGGAAGUGACAGCCACUCAGACAUAAGAAGUAUAUUCUCCUUAAGGUACAAGAAAAGCAACACUUUCAGAAGAAUGUAAUGCCAGAGACAGGCUAUACCAAGGCUACAGAACUCAAGUGCAGCUACAAGUUUAAAAGUGGGGUUGUUUGUGAUUUUUUUGUUGUUGUUGCACUUGUAGUUUCUUUUGUUUGUUUUUUUUGUGGGUUUUUUUAGCUAUUAGUACAAGAAACUCAAGCAUUAAAAAUACAGCCCUUUACUUCAUGGAAAGGAAAGAAGACCUAGGCAGAACAGUCUUAGGAGUCAUGAUCCCACACUCCAUUCCCAGUUUGACCACUGAUUUACUUGGAUCUUGAGGCUCAACAUCUCUCUGUGAAUGCACUUGACACUCUUAAUAAAAAAAGGAAACCAAAAAUAUUUCCUGAACGCGAGUUUUA